AAAUCAUACAUGUUAUGUCAAUUAUACACUAAUCAAUGUCUAUUACUUUAAAAGUUCAUGCACUGUGGCAUAUACUAAAAUCUAAAAUCACUUCGUGUACCACCAAAUUUUCAAUGUUACUGUGGCAAUUUGUAACUCAGCAUAUUACUCAACUUUCUAUUGUUCAUUCUAAAUUAAACCAAUAUGCACAUCUUUAUUGGUACUUCACUCAAGUUUCCUUACACUGCACCAGUAGCCUUAUAUCUCCUACUUCACUAAAAAAAACACACACAAGUUAAGUUAGGGAGAAAAUCAGUAGCUUACAUAA
rnacentral:lncRNA from 1 species